UACGAAGGGGGCUAGCGUUGUUCGGAUUUACUGGGCGUAAAGCGCACGUAGGCGGACUAUUAAGUCAGGGGUAAAAUCCCGGGGCUCAACCCCGGAACUGCCUUUGAUACUGGUAGUCUUGAGUUCGAGAGAGGUGAGUGGAAUUCCGAGUGUAGAGGUGAAAUUCGUAGAUAUUCGGAGGAACACCAGUGGCGAAGGCGGCUCACUGGCUCGAUACUGACGCUGAGGUGCGAAAGCGUGGGGAGCAAACAGG
rnacentral:rRNA from 1 species